GUUUCCGUAGUGUAGUGGUUAUCACGUUUGCUUUACACGCAAAAGGUCCCCUGUUUGAAACUGGGCGGAAACA
rfam:Danio rerio chromosome 17, GRCz11 reference primary assembly.